GUGACAACGAUUGGUCGGUCUUGCAUCUCUACGCCUAAGGCGGGAGCUCCUGGAGGCGGAGGCAGCGGGUGGGGGCCUAGUGGAGUGAGGGGUAACAAGAUGGCGACCGAGACGGUGGAGCUCCAUAAGCUGAAGCUUGCUGAACUAAAGCAAGAAUGUCUUGCUCGUGGUUUGGAGACCAAGGGAAUAAAGCAAGAUCUUAUCCACAGACUCCAGGCAUAUCUUGAAGAACAUGCUGAAGAGGAGGCAAAUGAAGAAGAUGUACUGGGAGAUGAAACAGAGGAAGAAGAAACAAAGCCCAUUGAGCUGCCUGUCAAAGAGGAAGAACCCCCUGAAAAAACUGUUGAUGUGGCAGCAGAGAAGAAAGUGGUGAAAAUUACAUCUGAAAUACCACAGACUGAGAGAAUGCAGAAGAGGGCUGAACGAUUCAAUGUACCUGUGAGCUUGGAGAGUAAGAAAGCUGCUCGGGCAGCUAGGUUUGGGAUUUCUUCAGUUCCAACAAAAGGUCUGUCAUCUGAUAACAAACCUAUGGUUAACUUGGAUAAGCUGAAGGAAAGAGCUCAAAGAUUUGGUUUGAAUGUCUCUUCAAUCUCCAGAAAGUCUGAAGAUGAUGAGAAACUGAAAAAGAGGAAGGAGCGAUUUGGGAUUGUCACAAGUUCAGCUGGAACUGGAACCACAGAGGAUACAGAGGCAAAGAAGAGGAAAAGAGCAGAGCGCUUUGGGAUUGCCUGAUGAAAAGUUCUUGAUACUAUCUGUUCUCCAGUGUUUUCCAUUUCUCUCAUUCUUCUUGGUCACAUAUAUGCCUAAAUGCACAGUCAUGUGCCUACGUCCUGCCUCGCAAUGAGGGAGCAUGUACCCCAGGUUCAAGUGCUGGAUUGUGUCAUGUGACCAUCCCAAAACUCAGAGCACCCUAUGGCCAUCUUUGCCCUCUGUCACAUAACUUGAAAACUGCCUGAUGGCCUUUUUGCAGUGGUUCCCUCCAGGAAGCCUUGAUCUCAGUUGAAGAAGUUCUUUCCCGGCAUUCCAGUGCCCCUGUCAGCUCCAUACUCCUCAGACACCCUUAACAAAGGCUGUCAUGCACACAAUGUAACAAAUACACAAAAUAAAUGAUAAUUACACUAAUAA